rnacentral:rRNA from 1 species
CAGCAGCCGCGGUAAUACGUAGGGUGCGAGCGUUAAUCGGAAUUACUGGGCGUAAAGCGUGCGCAGGCGGUUCGUUAAGACAGAUGUGAAAUCCCCGGGCUUAACCUGGGAACUGCAUUUGUGACUGGCGAGCUAGAGUAUGGCAGAGGGGGGUAGAAUUCCACGUGUAGCAGUGAAAUGCGUAGAGAUGUGGAGGAAUACCGAUGGCGAAGGCAGCCCCCUGGGCCAAUACUGACGCUCAUGCACGAAAGCGUGGGGAGCAAACAGGAUUAGAGACCCCUGUAGUCCCUGUCUCUUAUAC